UGUUGUGUAGUGUAGUGGUUUGAGUGUUGGACUAUGAUUAUGGAGACCAAGGUUCGAUUCCCAGCUCAGCCA